rnacentral:rRNA from 1 species
UACGGGGGGGGCAAGCGUUGUUCGGAAUUACUGGGCGUAAAGGGCUCGUAGGCGGCCAACUAAGUCAAACGUGAAAUCCCUCGGCUUAACCGGGGAACUGCGUCUGAUACUGGAUGGCUUGAGUUUGGGAGAGGGAUGCGGAAUUCCAGGUGUAGCGGUGAAAUGCGUAGAUAUCAAGUGGAACACCAGUGGCGAAGGCGAGUCCCUGGACACUUCCUGACACUGAGGCACGAAAGCUAGGGGAGCAAACAGG